rnacentral:lncRNA from 1 species
AAAAAAAAAAAGCUUCAGAAAUAUUCCCUCACAGUAAUAUUUCUGACAAAAAAAUCCGACAGAAGCUGUUGAACGAGGGGGAAAAUGUAGAAUAACAGCAGAUUUAGGUUACGAAGGAGAAGAUCCAGAGGAAGAUGAAGAUCGCGAGAAAGAUUAAUAUUAUCGAAUCAGCAAUUUACCAGAAACCAUUUGAGGUGAGAAAUAAAAAUUUGAAUUUGAUGGUACCGAUUCCCGAUUUUGUUAGAUCAAUUUUUUUUUUUUUUUUUGGUUUUUGGCGGUAGUGUCAUGGCCGUUGAUGGCACAACGACACAGGCGAUGAAUUUUUAUUUUUAAUAAAUUAAAUAUUAAUUAAUUUUUGGUGUAACGGUAGUUUUGGAAAUUUAUUUUAUAUUAAAGGAUAUUUUGGUAUUUAAGUUAAAAAUUUUAGAGAAAAUGACAUUUAUACCCUUUUGGUGAAAUAGUCAUAUUAAACCCGUAAGGGACACAACGAGACUCCUUUUCUACUGUAAUAUCCUUUAACUAUAGUAUCCUCAAAAAAUUGAUUCUAGUGUUUUAAAAGAAAUAAAAAUAUAAUGUUAAAAUAAAUAUAAUAAUAUAUACAUUUUAAAAUAAAAAUAUUUAAUCACUAUACAAUAUGUUAGAUAUAUUUUAUUAUAUUAAACUUAAUUUGAUAAUAAAUGGAAAUAUAAUAUAAAAUAAAUAUUUUAAAUUUUAAAUUAUUUUGAAUAUCAUAUCAAAUAAGUUAAUAUUAUUAAUAUGUGAGAUAUGUUGAAUUAAUAGUAAAAUCUAUUUAAGCUAAAGAUUUAUUUCAAAUAUUUUAAUAAAUAUAAAUAAAAUAUUUUAUAUUUUCAAAUUAUUUUAUAUAUUAAAAAUAUUUUAAUAUUUAGGCAAAUAAAUUAAUAAAUAUUAUAUUUUCAUUUAUUAAAAAAUUUAAGGCUAAUUUUUUUUAGCUAUCAUAUUCAAAGUAUAUUAAAGUAAAAAAAAGAUCUUAUAUCCCUCAUUAAAAACUUGUGAAAAACUUGAGAGUUGUUUGAUAAUUUCCUCAAAUCUUAGAGGUGUAGCUAUCUUUUUUCCAAAAUUUUAUUAUCAAAUAAUCAAAUUUCUAAAAGUUGUCGCUUUUUUUUUUGAAGUUAUAAUUAGCUUAGCUGCUUUUAAGAAUCUACAAAAUCUAAUUACUUGAAAAUCAAAUUAUUUAAUAAUCACUUUUGAAUUGAAUUUAACAACACUCUUUGGAUGCUCGUUGUCGAAGCAUGUCUUUACCUGGCCUGGUGCGCACCCUACACAACCGAAAGGCAAGGCCUGUUUGGAAAGUUAGACUAUGAAGGAAAUUAAUUGAUGGAUAGUAUUUGAUUAAUUUCAUCUAUUUUGUAUUUAGGCUCCAUUUGGUAUAAUUUUUCAAAG